rnacentral:rRNA from 1 species
UACGAAGGGGGCUAGCGUUGCUCGGAAUCACUGGGCGUAAAGGGCGCGUAGGCGGCGUUUUAAGUCGGGGGUGAAAGCCUGUGGCUCAACCACAGAAUUGCCUUCGAUACUGGGACGCUUGAGUAUGGUAGAGGUUGGUGGAACUGCGAGUGUAGAGGUGAAAUUCGUAGAUAUUCGCAAGAACACCGGUGGCGAAGGCGGCCAACUGGACCAUUACUGACGCUGAGGCGCGAAAGCGUGGGGAGCAAACAGG